rnacentral:rRNA from 1 species
AUUGAACGCCGGCGGCAUGCCUUACACAUGCAAGUCGAACGGUAACGCGGGGCAACCUGGCGACGAGUGGCGAACGGGUGAGUAAUAUAUCGGAACGUGCCCAAUAGUGGGGGAUAGCCCGGCGAAAGCCGGAUUAAUACCGCAUACGACCUGAGGGUGAAAGCGGGGGAUCGCAAGACCUCGCGCUAUUGGAGCGGCCGAUAUCAGAUUAGGUAGUUGGUGGGGGUAAAGGCCUACCAAGCCUACGAUCUGUAGCUGGUCUGAGAGGACGACCAGCCACACUGGAACUGAGACACGGUCCAGACUCCUACGGGAGGCAGCAGUGGGGAAUUUUGGACAAUGGGGGCAACCCUGAUCCAGCCAUUCCGCGUGAGUGAAGAAGGCCUCGGGUUGUAAAGCUCUUUCGGCAGGAACGAAACGGU